rnacentral:tmRNA from 1 species
GGGGUCGACCGGUUUUGACAGCUUAAGCAGUCUGGUUGUAAGCACGUCGGGAGUUGUAGGCAUUUCCUGUUAAAAAAACCUUCGAAUUAUAGCUGGCAAUACACAGUAUGCCAUGGCUGCCUAAUCUGAUAGAUUAGACAAUUUGCCAUCGUCCGGCCUCUUCCAAACUCUGCCGAAGAGGAUUUCUGGGCGUCGACAUGCAGAGUCGAUCAUUGAGAUUUUACUAAUUAAUGAUUAGUACCCAGUAAAUAAGUGUUAGGUAAGGUCUGAUUUGAACCUAUUUAACGUCGAAAAUUAAUCAAAUCUAAACGUGUAGAAGGCAAUUUUACUCUAGGUUUGGACGAGGGUUCGAAUCCCUCCGACUCCACAU